rnacentral:rRNA from 1 species
UACGAAGGGGGCUAGCGUUGUUCGGAAUUACUGGGCGUAAAGCGCGCGCAGGCGGUCCUUCAAGUCAGAGGUGAAAGCCCAGAGCUCAACUCUGGAACGGCCUUUGAGACUAGAGGACUUGGGUACGGGAGAGGUGAGUGGAAUUCCGAGUGUAGAGGUGAAAUUCGUAGAUAUUCGGAAGAACACCAGUGGCGAAGGCGACUCACUGGACACGUAUUGACGCUGAGGUGCGAAAGCGUGGGGAGCAAACAGG